CGGGUGCUAACGUCCGUCGUGAAGAGGGCAACAACCCUGACCGACAGCUAAGGCCCCCAAUUCGUGGCUAAGUGGGAAAGGAUGUGGGACUCCCAAAACAACCAGGAGGUUGGCUUAGAAGCAGCCAUCCUUUAAAGAAAGCGUAACAGCUCACUGGUCUAGCCAAGGGGUCCUGCGCCGAAAAUGUAACGGGGCUCAAGCCACGAGCCGAAGCUUCGGGUGCACGCAAGUGCGCGGUAGCGGAGCGUUCCCUAGGCUGUUGAAGCGGGACCCGUGAGGGCCCGUGGAGGUAUGGGAAGUGCGAAUGCUGACAUGAGUAACGACAAAGAGUGUGAAAGACACUCUCGCCGAAAGUCCAAGGGUUCCUGCGUAAAGUUAAUCUGCGCAGGGUCAGCCGGCCCCUAAGGCGAGGCCGAAAGGCGUAGUCGAUGGGAAUGGGGCGAAUAUUCCCCAGCCAGUGGAUGGUGACGGAUGCCGUGUAUCGUCUGGCCUUAUCGGAUUGGCCGGGCGGUGAAGGGGUCCCAGGAAACAGCCUCCACAUCAAGACCGUACCCGAAACCGACACAGGUGGACUGGUAGAGCAUACCAAGGCGCUUGAGAGAACGAUGCUGAAGGAACUCGGCAAUCUGCCUCCGUAACUUCGGGAUAAGGAGGCCCUGUCGGUGCGAAAGCAUCGGCAGGGGGCACAGACCAGGGGGUGGCGACUGUUUAUCUAAAACACAGGACUCUGCGAAGUCGAGAAGA
rnacentral:rRNA from 1 species